rnacentral:lncRNA from 1 species
UUCUCAGAAGUUUCUUCCAUUCAGCUUUUCGACGAUGAGUUGAAAGGAAGAAUUUUUGACGUUAUUGAAGCCCAUGGAUGAAAUGACUUCUGUCUCACUUUGAAGAGAUUCUGAGGUUGUAGAUUCCUUACUAUUUGUAGGAAUUUCAGACAUGGAUUGCUAGGUUAAUAGGAUCUUGGCUCUGAUACCAUAAAGAAGA